rnacentral:rRNA from 1 species
GACGAACGCUGGCGGCGUGCUUAACACAUGCAAGUCGAACGGAAAGGCCCUGCUUUUGUGGGGUGCUCGAGUGGCGAACGGGUGAGUAACACGUGAGUAACCUGCCCUUGACUUUGGGAUAACUUCAGGAAACUGGGGCUAAUACCGGGUAGGAGCUCCUGCUGCAUGGUGGGGGUUGGAAAGUUUCGGCGGUUGGGGAUGGACUCGCGGCUUAUCAGCUUGUUGGUGGGGUAGUGGCUUACCAAGGCUUUGACGGGUAGCCGGCCUGAGAGGGUGACCGGCCACAUUGGGACUGAGAUACGGACCAGAAUCCUACGGGAGGCAGCAGUGGGGAAUAUUGCACAAUGGGCGGAAGCCUGAUGCAGCAACGCCGCGUGCGGGAUGACGGCCUUCGGGUUGUAAACCGCUUUCGCCUGUGACGAAGCGUGAGUGACGGUAAUGGGUAAAGAAGCACCGGCUAACUACGUG